CGGCUACUCCCACGGUCCACGAGCAGGUUCCUUGCGCUUCCGUUACUGGCUUCUUUGGGGCUGGUGAGCUGCCAUGAGGUAAACAGCUUCCUCCGACACACUCUCCACUGUGAUUCUCGAGUGACUCUUACGGCAGAAAGCACUUUGCUGAGGAUAAUUGACUGUGUUCCAGGACUACCUGUAAAACAGAAACAUUGUAACAGAAGAGAACACUGCCCGGUGCUGGGAAUGCUGUCCCGGACAGAGUUCAGCUUCUACUAUUGCAGCUCAAGUAGUCUGACCAUUUGAAAAGCACAGUAACGGAGUCCUAGUCAAACUCACAAGGUUCUCCAUGGGCAGCAGAGACCCCAGGGACGUCAAGGAGAGCGAAUACUGUUCUCCUGCCUUUGAUGGAACCAAACAGAGCAAUCGAUGCUUCAUGAUUUUCAUAAACUGGGGGACCAGCAGACACCUGAGCUCCUGGUGGAGGAUUCUAGUAGCUCCAGAUGAAUCCUGAGGCAGCAGGAUCUUUGGCUCUCAAGAACAAUCUAGAACAUGUUCACCUGAAGGUGCAUCUGCUGUGGGAAGGAAGGCUCCCGAGUCCAAUGUGGGUAGAUCCUGAAGAAGACUCCAGAGACAGGGUGUUGAGGAAGGAGAGGUGUCUACAUAAGCUCCCCCAUGAAGCAGAGAGCCCUGAGGUGAUGAAGAGGGAGUGACUAAUGACAG
rnacentral:lncRNA from 1 species